AACGUAGGAGACAAACGUUAUCCGGAGUUACUGGGCGUAAAGGGCGUGUAGGUGGUUUCGUAAGUCUGGCGUGAAAUUUCCCGGCUUAACCGGGAGUGGUCGUCGGAUACUGCGGGACUAGAGGACGGUAGAGGCGUGUGGAAUUCCGGGUGUAGUGGUGAAAUGCGUAGAGAUCCGGAGGAACACCAGUGGCGAAGGCGAGUCUCUGGGAUGAUGCUGACGCUGAGGCGCGAAAGCGUGGGGAGCGAACAGG
rnacentral:rRNA from 1 species